CCAGGAUAGGGACAGGCGAUGAACGUCACUCCUUAUGAGCUAUCAGUGUGUGCUUCUUUGGACAAACUGCCUAUGUGCUGAGUACCUGUGACACUUUAGACACUUUUUUCCCACCCAAAAGUCCCGGGAGGGGAGCUGCACUUCUGCAGAAAGGCAGAGCUCCUCCCUUUCCCUGUCCGUCAGUCCAGCUAUGCCUCCCUGGAGCUGUCCCGGGCUGCUGCAACCCUGGCCUUUCCUUUCUGACUGCCUCUGUCAGGAAGGGGACAGGAAAUUCUAGUCACCCUCACAGCAGCUGCACCAUUCCUGCUAUCCUCCCACAAUGACGUCGGUCGGCUUUGGCGACAGGAGGUCAGGAACUGAGCCACAGUGAAGAGCCAAAGCAUCCUGUUUUCAAAACAUCGGGCUGUUUUGCCACGGAGCCAUCCACGCUCCGGUGCCUUUUGCUCAAGUUAAGACAGUUCUAAUUCAGGAGGUGUUGAAAGUUGAAACACAGAAAUGAACCAGUGAGGAUCUGCCGCUCAGCGGAGCCCUCUGACAAGUCCGACGCGCGGCAGGCUGCUGGCCGAAGGCUCCCAGACACCCCUUUCAACGAGCAAGACAAUAUCAUUGCCUCGUAAAACUCUCCCUGACCUUCCUCCUCUUCUUGCCACAUUUUGGAGAAAAUGAUCUGUAGCAUGAAUCUACCUGGCUGCAACUUUCUCUCAAAUUUUGCAAUUCUGUUUGGCCUGGAGCCAGCAUUGAGGGCUCAAGAAAACUAUGCCUUUUUUGUAAGUUACAGAAA